AGAAUCAACGCUGGCGGCGUGCCUAACACAUGCAAGUCGAACGAGAAAGUGGAGCAAUCCACGAGUAAAGUGGCGCACGGGUGAGUAACACGUGACUAACCUACCCUUGAGUGGGGGAUAACCUAGGGAAACCUGGGCUAAUACCGCAUAAUACCUACGGGUCAAAGGAGCAAUUCGCUUAAGCGAGGGGGUCGCGGCCGAUUAGUUAGUUGGCGGGGUAAUGGCCCACCAAGACGAUGAUCGGUAUCCGGCCUGAGAGGGCGCACGGACACACUGGAACUGAAACACGGUCCAGACUCCUACGGGAGGCAGCAGUGGGGAAUUUUGCGCAAUGGGGAAACCCUGACGCAGCAACGCCGCGUGGAGGAUGAAGUCCCUUGGGAUGUAAACUCCUUUCGAUCGGGACGAUUAUGACGGUACCGGAAGAAGAAGCCCCGGCUAACUUCGCGCCAGCAGCCGC
rnacentral:rRNA from 1 species